AAUGUUCUUGAAGCAGUGUUGCAUGAUGACGUUGUAUGCACACCAGAUGCUAUGGAUAUGUUACUUUCCGUGUUUCGUCUUCUAAAUGCAUCAUGUGAAAAGUCUACUCAAGGCAAGACAAAGCUGGCUCCAUUGGUUCCAGCUCUCAUCCAUGACUUUCUCUUGAAUGAUGAAAGGGGUACUCCUCUAAGAGUUGAAGUAA